rnacentral:rRNA from 1 species
UACGUAGGGUGCAAGCGUUAAUCGGAAUUACUGGGCGUAAAGCGUGCGCAGGCGGUUUUGUAAGUCAGCUGUGAAAUCCCCGGGCUUAACCUGGGAACUGCGUUUGAAACUACAAGGCUAGAGUGUGACAGAGGGGGGUGGAAUUCCACGUGUAGCAGUGAAAUGCGUAGAGAUGUGGAGGAACACCGAUGGCGAAGGCAGCCCCCUGGGUUAACACUGACGCUCAGGCACGAAAGCGUGGGGAGCAAACAGG